CAGACAGAGUUACACCACGCACAGAGAUGAGAAAGGUAUGUAUGGACUUAUCUAACUCUGGGGGAUACGGUGAAUAAGCUAAAUUCCCAAAAUCUGGGCGUGUUCCUUUAAGAAAAGUACCAACGCGCAUUUCUAACGAUCUAAAUAAUCCCUUAGAGAAAAGUGAUGAGCAUUUCUUAGGAGAACACUGGUUUGAUCAUAAGGCAAUCCAAAGUGCUUCAAGUUUUUAUUACUUUGAGGCUUCAUAUAUGCAGUACUUUACCGUCUGUUUAUUUGUGACGUUUCAUUGUACACAAAUCUGCUGUCUUUUAAAGCUGCGUGCGUUAAUUUGUUUAUGCUGUGAGGUUUUGUAACUAUAGCAACCACUUCUCCAUUGCCGUGUUUCGGCAGAGACUACCGUAAAAUAUAUAGUAUAAACACUUAGGUAAGGGUGACUCUUAAGAAAUUUGUUGGUUGCACUUUAUUUUACAGUACGUGUAUUUACCUUGUACAUAUAUGGUAAAUAAGUUGUACUUACCGACAAAUGUGGGGUACUUACUUUUAGGUAUCUACAUGGUAAUUAAUUGGUAUCAUUACUGUACUUACCAGUAGUACAUACUUAGUAGUUAUUAUGUAACUCUAGGUAAGUACUGGGUAAUAACAUAUACAUACUUAUAGUGUAGGUACUGUAACUAACGAGAAACAUAACUGUACUUACAAAUAAAUGUACAAUAUAAGCAUUUAGUAUUUACAUGCAAGUUAGGGUAAAUGACAGGUAUUUAUAGUGUACAUAUAUGAUAACUAAUAUCAAACACUACUGUACUUACAAAUUGUAUUUACAUGAUAAGUGUGUGGUACCUGUAGGCCAGUGUAAGUUAAUGAAAGGCACAUAUGGUGUAUCCCAGACAGCACCUUCAGUCUUACCGACGUUGGCAAUUGGAGGGCACCAGCGGCAAAGUGUCGGUUGGGGUUUUUCCCCUGCACACAGAAUAAAAGUAGGUGGGUAAACGAUCGGCGCGAUGAGUCUGCAGCCCACUACUCUCCGGAGAUCGGCGGGGGAACCGUGAGCAACCUUUUUGCCGAUCGCGCUUUUUUUCUUCACUAGAUCUACGCAGUUGUUGGACCACAUCAAGCCGGCAGUGUAAGCGCGAAGGUAAAUAUGAUGAAGGCAUGGCUUGGUGGCCUCCAGACCGCAUUUCGGCCACGGAAGUGUUGUUGUUCCCCAGUGGUUCUAACCUGUUAGCAACUCAGAAAGUUUAUUAAAAUGGGUUCCCAGCAUCAAAAUGUCUGGUUGUUGCGUUUGGUUGCACUUAUAAUAUACUAAUAUACGUAUAUAUGUAUCUGGCAACUUUAUAUUUGGCCAUCUGCUAACGUCUUCUAUCCACUCCACUAUAGUACACGGAUCUGGUAGAUUUGUUGAAAAAGUCGAUGAGUCAACUGUGUGCGCAUACGUUGCCACAUCAUCAUUGUGUACAAAGACUAAAAGGGUCUAUAAAGACUCAUACAAAAUACUCCAAAGUUUUUUCAAGAGGACAUCACCCAACCCAUCUAAAGGAUGGAAACAAUACUCUUGUUGAAUACUACAUGAGACAAACCAUCGUGACUUAGAUCACCAUCAACACCAUCAUCAUCCCCUGCAUCGUGCCCUUCAUCAGACACCCAAAAUGCACCACAAACAUCACUGGCGAAAAAGAAGAAAACGCACAACAAACCUUCCAAAACACCCUCCUACCUAUGGCUGGAAACAACAUAA